rnacentral:rRNA from 1 species
CACGUAGGGAGCAAGCGUUGUCCGGAAUCAUUGGGCGUAAAGAGCUCGUAGGCGGCUCAGUAAGUCGGGUGUGAAACCUCCAGGCUCAACCUGGAGACGCCACUCGAUACUGCUGUGGCUAGAGUCCAGUAGGGGAGUGUGGAAUUCCCGGUGUAGCGGUGAAAUGCGCAGAUAUCGGGAGGAACACCAGCGGCGAAGGCGGCACUCUGGGCUGGUACUGACGCUGAGGAGCGAAAGCGUGGGUAGCAAACAGG